rnacentral:rRNA from 1 species
GUCGAGAAUCUUUCACAAUGGGGGCAACCCUGAUGGAGCGAGGCCGCGUGGAGGAUAAGGUCUUCGGAUUGUAAACUCCUGUCAUGCGUGAACAAGGUUGCUUGGUUAAUACCUGGGCAAAUUGAUGGUAACGCAAGAGGAAGAGACGGCUAACUCUGUGCCAGCAGCCGCGGUAAUACAGAGGUCUCAAGCGUUGUUCGGAAUCACUGGGCGUAAAGGGUGCGUAGGUGGCGUGGUAAGUCAGAUGUGAAAGCCCGGGGCUCAACCUCGGAACUGCAUCCGAUACUGCCAUGCUAGAGUACUGGAGAGGUGACUAGAAUUCUCGGUGUAGCAGUGAAAUGCGUAGAUAUCGAGAGGAAUACCAAAGGCGUAGGCAGGUCACUGGACAGUUACUGACACUGAGGCACGAAGGCCAGGGGAGCGAACGGGAUUAGAUACCCUGGUAGUCC